GGGUGUGUAGUUCAGUGGUAGAACGCCAUUCUGAUAAAAUGGAGGCCGUAGGUUCAAUUCCUACCACACCCA
rnacentral:tRNA from 1 species